AAGGUGGAGUUAGGAAUACAAUAGUUAUUAGUCAAUCUAAAGAUAAACAAAAUUGAUACAAACAUAUUUAAUAGCCAUUGAACAAGAUCAAAAUGUAAUCUAUAUGCAUCUUCUAUUAUCUCAAUAGAGUUUAUUGAAGUAGGGCAAGUAGCCCGUUGCAUUUAAGGAGUUGAUGGAGGAGUAGAAUUUGGUCAGAAUAUUGAAUAAUACACGUUAGGCUACCUAUUAUCUUGUAGUGAACAACUACAAGACUUAACCUAUUUUGGACUAUGUAUCUAACCUUAACUAAAUCUGGGAGAGGAAUAUAGCACAAGGUUAACUUAUUUUUUCUUCUCCUAUCAUUUUGAUGAUGUACUUAGUGUAUCAAUCUAUAAAGAAUCAAUCUUUCCUUUUUUCCUCGUUAUAAGUUUUGCAUUGUAUAGCAUGCUUUAAGUUGUAUAAAAAGCUUCACGAUAUAACACCUGACUCCUGUCUCACUCAGGAUUGAACACCUCAAAUCGAAUCCAAAAAAUAGGUUUUGAGAACGGAUUUUUAAAAGAAUUAUUGGAAUAUGUAUGAUACAUGUAGCCUACUGUAUUGUCAUAUAAACUCUUAGCAGGUCUAGAAACAGUUAUUUUUCUUUUUUCAGAGAAUAACAGGCUGAUUGAGCUAUGGUUGAAACUUUCUGCUGGUUCUCUCUUGCUAGUUUAUGGCUGGAGAUCACCGUAUCAAGUAUCAGGCACCAAAAUAUAUCACAAAGGCCGCAAAAACAGUUCAUCGUGUGUGUUGUUUCUCAUUCAGCCAAGACAGUGAACAUGUAAUCCUUUAGUUUGACACCGUACACAUCGUUUUACCAUUACCAUAGUAUAUCCCACUUCCAUUGUAUAAUUUUGUACAUUACAAAACAUGUGUUCUGUCAUGAAUAAUAAUGUGUUUAUGUAAAUUAACAAUUUAUAGUUACUUUUGCAAUGUUUCAUAUGUUUUGAAAAAAAUUAAAAGGUAUUAUGUACUUCA